rnacentral:rRNA from 1 species
AUGCUGAGGCACAGUACUAAAAUCCUCGCCGGGCGCAUUUAUAAGGUCCCUUCCGAGUGGAUGACAUGUGGGCCCGGUCGAUCUAAUCAUAUCCAGGACAGUUAUGCAGACGGGAUACGUGGCGGAAAAAGCGGCGCGGAGAUCGAGGCGUCUAUGUCCCGUCCCAUCCGAACGCCGCGGUCCGCUCCGCUUCGCGCGCGUCCCCAAAUUUCGCAUCCCGCGGAAUCCGCGAACAGCAGAUCAGUCUGUCAGACUCGGGGUUUCCUGCGAUCCGUUGCUCGGAGAUCGUCGAAGCUCGAAAGAUCACUCGACGCAAGAAGAGAAUGGAUCGAGUCGACUGAAGACAAGUUGCUCACUGUCGACGAAGAGGUUCUUCAGUUCAGAACAACGCACGACCAGAGCGCAAAGGUUAAUCGGAAACGACAUCAACUCCUUCCUCACUCGAAGCCUCAAUCCAUUCGGGGGCUAAUGAUGGGGUCAUGUACCUAG